rnacentral:rRNA from 1 species
UGGGGAAUCUUGCGCAAUGGGCGAAAGCCUGACGCAGCCAUGCCGCGUGAAUGAUGAAGGUCUUAGGAUUGUAAAAUUCUUUCACCGGGGACGAUAAUGACGGUACCCGGAGAAGAAGCCCCGGCUAACUUCGUGCCAGCAGCCGCGGUAAUACGAAGGGGGCUAGCGUUGCUCGGAAUUACUGGGCGUAAAGGGAGCGUAGGCGGACAUUUAAGUCAGGGGUGAAAUCCCGGGGCUCAACCUCGGAAUUGCCUUUGAUACUGGGUGUCUUGAGUGUGAGAGAGGUAUGUGGAACUCCGAGUGUAGAGGUGAAAAUUCGUAGAUAUUCGGAAGAACACCAGUGGCGAAGGCGACAUACUGGCUCAUUACUGACGCUGAGGCUCGAAAGCGUGGGGAGCAAACAGGGNUUAGAUACCCCUGGUAGUCCACGCCGUAAAACGAUGGAUUUGCUAGUUGUC